GAUGAACGCUGGCGGCGUGCCUAAUACAUGCAAGUCGAGCGAACGGACGAGAAGCUUGCUUCUCUGAUGUUAGCGGCGGACGGGUGAGUAACACGUGGAUAACCUACCUAUAAGACUGGGAUAACUUCGGGAAACCGGAGCUAAUACCGGAUAAUAUUUUGAACCGCAUGGUUCAAAAGUAAAAGACGGUCUUGCUGUCACUUAUAGAUGGAUCCGCGCUGCAUUAGCUAGUUGGUAAGGUAACGGCUUACCAAGGCAACGAUGCAUAGCCGACCUGAGAGGGUGAUCGGCCACACUGGAACUGAGACACGGUCCAGACUCCUACGGGAGGCAGAAGUAGGGAAUCUUCCGCAAUGGGCGAAAGCCUGACGGAGCAACGCCGCGUGAGUGAUGAAGGUCUUCGGAUCGUAAAACUCUGUUAUUAGGGAAGAACAUAUGUGUAAGUAACUGUGCACAUCUUGACGGUACCUAAUCAGAAAGCCACGGCUAACUACGUG
rnacentral:rRNA from 1 species